rnacentral:tRNA from 1 species
GGGGCUGUAGCUCAGUGGUAGAGCACUUGCUUUCCCAUGUGAGACACUGGGUUCCAUCCUCAGCCCCA